AAACUGUUUUUGUCCCCUUUUCAUUCUAUGACUUCUUGCUUUUUUUCAUUCAUAAGAAAAAUUCAAUAAUCUUGAAGUUAGCAUGCUAGAUCUAGACCCAGAAAGAAUAGGCUCAUUGUAUGCUUAACAAGUUGCUCAUGUUCCCUGUAGGGUGUGCAUUUUGAAUUGCUUUUCUAAUAAUGGAGUGGUGGUAUCUUGAAUUAUUCAUUCACCUUUGGGUGGUCUUCACAUGCUAUUGUGUGGAAGAUACCAAUUCCCCAAGACAAUGGGCUCACUCAGAGACUCCCUCCAUUGAGUUUCACAAGUAAAGCAAAUUAAAGAGACCAAGUAGUUUGAUUGCCUGGGGCUGGGAAGCUGGUCUCUGUGGGAAC
rnacentral:lncRNA from 1 species